ACGAGUGAUGACAAGAGUUUUACACAAGUUAAGGAUCAGACAGUUCUGGCUUGCUGUCCUGAUUCUGCCAUGUUACCUGUAGAAAAAAGGGGAGGGUUAUAUUCUUUUGGAGCCUCAGUUUUCAGAUAAAGACAAUGGACCCAGUUUAGGAAUGACAUGGUGUACUUUCUGGUCUCAGAGAUGGUUCCCAGUGGCCCCACCUCCUGGUAUUCACACCUUUGUGUAGUGCCCUCCCACACUCAGCUGAGUUGGUCUGCCCAGUGGAGAGGCCCAGGAGAUGGGAAACUGAAUCCUCCAGCCAAUAGCCAGAGAGGAGAAGGGGCCUGCAAGCAGUCACAUGAAUGACCUUGAAAGUGGAUUCUCCCCUGGCCAGAGUUGAGCCUGGAGAUGCCAGUAGCCCAAGUUGACAGUUUGACUGUGAUCUCCUGUCUGGUACCACCAGCUCAGCAUUCCUGGGUUCCUGAUCGCAGAAAUUCUGUGAAAUAGUAAAUAUUUGUUAUUUUUAGUAGCUCAUUUUUUUAAAGCUAAUUUGCUCUUCAGUGGUUGAAAACCAAAUUUGCAUGACGACAGGAAGAAGAGUAUUCUUUAUACUCUAAAAAAUUGAAAGCUUGCUGAACAUUUACAUAGGAAGUAUACGAGAUUUGCGUUUUAGAUUUUUUUUUCCAUACUUAAACCCUAUGUUUUCUGCCAGUUCUCAAACUAUAUUGUGAUAAAUAAACACCUGGUGAACUUGUUUAAAACAUAUACACCUAGGCUUCACUACCAAUCAUUCUGACUUAGAGAAUCACAGGCAGAGCUUAGGCAUCUUUCAUUUAAACAAGCACCUACACACCACCUCUCAGAAGCUCUGCCCUUGUCAAAUAGAGCCGUUACCCUUAGAACCAGUUCCGGUCCUUCUUGCAUAUCUUAGGAUAACACCCCAUCCCAGUUUGCCAAAUACUUUCUCUUGAAAGUGCUCUGUCCCAGGUGAUCCCUCAUUUGUGGGCACACUAUGAUGAUUGGUCAUUUAGCAGCUUCCCACACCAGCAUCUAUAGCUGGAGUGCCCUCAUCACCCCAGUCUCUGCACCUCUGCCUGCCAAGGUCUCACCCAGCAUUCAAGGCCCUGUUCAAAUGCUGUGUCUCCAUCCCAGAUGACUUCUCAGAUUCCCCUCUUUUAUUCUGAGAGCUUUUAGAUUCUCAAAGCAUGUUUCCUUUUACAGUAUCUUAGAAAAGGAACAUUUGUACCUUCUUUAUCCUUUGUAAAUUCCUGGAGGCAAGGCCUGCUGUCUUAUUCAUCUCAUAAUUGAAUGUCAGGCUCCUUGAUUUGAAGUGUUGAUUCAAGAUCAGUUGCCAGAUUGCUGAGGCCCUGAGGAGCAAACCUUUAGGGCAGGUGACAAAGCAUCUCUCUUUAGUGAGGUUUCUCAAUAUGCUCCCUUUCAGUAUGUUUGAAUUUAGAGAAAUCCUCUAUUUCUCACUCUGGCAACAGUAAAUAGGCUGCCAUUAUGAAGAAAAUGCUGCAUCAAGGCAGGUGAGUUCUUCCUAACACCUGAUAGUUCCUCACUGGCAGAGCUGACUGACAUGUUCCUAGGGCCUUCCACUUAUACCCGGCCUCUGCCUACCAGAUGUGUCAAUGAUGAAAAACAAUAUAAAAUUAGUUCGUAGAUGGCCCAUUAAGAUUUGCCAGGGAGUUCAUUAUAAUAAUAAAGAUCAAAGUAGGGAACUCAGCAUGCUUAAUUAUGACUUCAAAAUGCAAAGAAAUCCAUUCCAGCUCUCUCUUCUCUCAUCCUUGAAAAGGAUGAAGUUCUCUCUGCCCAGUUUCAGAUGGAUUCCAUUCAAAAGGAAGACUGUGCUUGGGGGAUAGGUGGUUUUAAUCAAAGGUUCGAUGUCUACUCUGUUUUGGCUGGAGGAAGGCAGGUUCAUUCAGUUGAUCCAGGGAAGGGAGGAAGGCUUUUCUUUUCAACUGUCGUCAUUUUUAUUGUGCUUGCUCUCCCAAAGUGUACAGUUUUCACUCUCCAGAGAAGUGAAGGCAGAAUAACUGGAGGACAUUUCUGGGCCAUAGUAAUAAUAAUAAUUGUUGUAAAUUGAAUACUGAGUUCUAGGACCUUUGCUAUGUGAAAGCAUCUCUUUUGGGUGAGGUUUUUCAUGGUCCCUUUGUGAAUUUAAAGUAACUUUGUGCUUUAUUCAGUGGUAGAUAGGGCAUUUUCCAACCUAGUUUUCCCAAUAAUACAAAGGAGGCAGUACCAUUAUUGUCUCCAUUUUACAGAUGAGGAAAUAGAGGCUUGAGGUUCAGUGAUUCACCCAGAGUCACACAUAAGUUACAUAAUAGACCAGGAUUCAGACCCACACAGACUUCCUUCCAAACCCAAGUUCAUAACGACUGCAUUAUGUUCCCCACCACCCUCACCACUUUCUUAAAAAAGAGAGUUCUAAUGAAACAAUUUUCUUUUUGAAAAAUCAUUUCAAAAAUGGUUACUCGGACAUUAACAAAGUGCCAAGAUCACUUCCUUCAUUCCUUAAUAUAUGUUUGUCUCCCCAGAUGUUGUGUACUGAUUAUUCAUAUUUUCUCAUUGAUUGAUGUAUAACUUCAAAAAUGCUUAAUUCUCUUUUCUCUUUGCUCUUUAAUUAGCAGCUUCCUCAACCUGAGCUGGAAGUUUUGUGUUCUUUCCUUCUUCCUCUGUCUUCUCCUCACCUCAGCCUUUCUGCCAACUAGUUUUUUUAAGUUGAAGGAAUUCUUUAUAGUUCAGAUAAUCAGCCCUCAAUUUACAUGUUCUGUAAAUUUUGGUUUUUAUGUAUUAAAUUGUCUUAGAAAGAGGUCACACAUUGAGAUGAAGUGAGACAUCCAGUGGUGAUAAGACUCCUAGGGGAUGUCUACUUAGAAAGUUCACUUUCAAGAAAAAAAAGCUAGACUCUGGUCUAAUUGCUGUUGAGGGACUAAUAAAGAUCUGAUAUCAGACUUGAGAAGGAUAUAGUUCAUGGCUCACAGUAGGGAAAAAUAAUAAAUAAGGGUUUUUACUGUAGGAAAGGACUUCAAAGGACAAAGAAAAAAGGAAGAUUAUCUUCAAUAAUACUAGGAAAUAUUAAGGAAGAGGAAGAACAAGGGCCUGAAUAUCAUUAAAUAUAUGAAAUAGUGGAAUUAAGUCCUUCAUUUUGCUUUGGCAUUGAAGUUGAGUGAUAAAAAGGAACGUGACCUUUUUUUGUAAUGUUUUUUAAUUAUUGUAACUUCUCACUGUAGUUUAAAUGUAGCCUGUAAGACAUUCCAGGACAAGGAAUGUGUCUAAUCAGUGCUGAUAUCCUUAGCAUAGAAUGAUUCCAACACAUAGCAGGCAUUCGAUGAUUAUAUCCAUAAUAAAAUUUUAUUUACUUACAUGUUUUAUUCCCUAACAUUUUAUUGAGAUAUAAUUGACAUAUAAUAAAACAUAUUGUUACCAUUUCCACUGUUUCUCAUUCCUGUGGAUGGAUCCACAUUUCCAUCUGCUAUCAUUCCUCUUCUGUAUGACGUUCUUUAACAUUUUUUUAUGCUGUGUCUGCUGAUGAUAAAUGUUCUCAGCUUGAUUAUGUCUGAAAGAGUCUUUAUAUAAUUUUUUGUUUUGAAGACAUUUUUGCUGGGUAUGAAAUUCUAGGUUGUGAGUUUCUUGCUUUCCAUAUUUUAAAGAUGUUUAUCCACCAUCUUCUCACUUGUUUUGCUACUAACAAGACAUUUUCUGUAAUUCUUAUCUUCACCCCUCUGUACAUAAUAUGUUUUUUUUUUCUUCCUGGCUGCAUUUAAAAGUUUUCUCUUUAUCAUGUGUUUUGAGAAGCUUAAUUGUGAUAUACUUUAGUGUUAGUUUCUUUCCUGUUUAUUGUGCUUAGAAAUUCAUUAAGCCUCGGAGUUCCCAUAGUGGAGCAGUGGUUAACGAAUCCGACUAAGAACCAUGAGGUUGCGGGUUUGAUCCCUGGCCUUGCUCAGAGGGUUAAGGAUCCAGCAUUGCCAUGAACUGUGGUGUAUGUUGCAGACGCGGCUCGGAUCCCACGUUGCUGUGGCUCUGGCGUCAGGCUAGGGGUCGAAUCAGAGCUGUAGCCACCGGAUUUUUUUAAUCUUCCAUGCCUUUAUUCAACUUCUUGAACAUCUGUAAUAUAAUUAUAACUGUUGUAAUAUCCUUGUGUGCUAAUUCUAAUAUCUAUGUUACUUCCAAGUCAAUUUCAAUUGAUUUUUCUUCUCAUUAAGGUCUGUAUUUUCCCCUUUGCAUGCCUGUUAAUUUUUGCAUGGCUACCAAAUAUUUUGAUUCUUACUUAUAUGAUGCUGUACUUCAAAAAUUUCUACGAAUAUUAUUGAGCUUUAUUUUGGCAGGUGGUUAAUUUACUUGGAAACAGGUUAGUCCUUUUAGGUCUUGCUUUUAGGAUUUGUUAGUUAGGACCAGAGGGGUGUUUGAUCUAGAGCUAAUUAAUCCCCACCACUGAGAUGAGAGCCUUCUGAGUCCUCUACACGAUGCCUAAGAAUUAAACCCUUUUCAUUCCAGCCAUUGGGCCCAGGCACAGUUACUGGCCCUGUAUGAACAUCAUGUACUCUUCCCUCUAACCUUUCAGGUGGUCCUCUCCCCAGCAGUGGGCAGCUUCUGCCAUGUGUGCACUGACCGAUAGCUGCUAAAUACUCAAGGAGAGCCCUCUGUGGGUUUUCCUCUGUCUCACCCUCUCUUAAGCGUCCUACUCUGCAAACUAUAGAGGCUUUAGUCUCCUAGACUCUUAUAUGCAGUGUGUAUGUGUGGACUCCAAGUGCUGGAUGGAUUCUUCUGGCUUUCUGCCUGGGAUGGGAUUUGCGUGACAGUAGACUGUAUCUUAAAGUCCUGUUCUGUGUACCCACUCCCUAUCUUUUAGGUCUUCUCUGCUGAGUGAAUGUUUUCUCCACUAGAGACCCAGUACCCAGCUGGGUUUAGGGGGGAGCUCCUUCCUUUACCCCACACCUUUCACCUCCAGGUACACACCCCAGCUUCCCCUACUUCCCACCAUCCCACACUGUCUUCUUUUUUCCUUGGUGCCAUUGAGACAGAAUCAGCCUCACCUCUCUCUCCAUCAGUCUCUUUUUCAUCUGGUUUCUUCACAGAAGAUAUCAACUUUGAGAGGAAUAUGGAUUCUCAUUGUUUUAAGCAGUUAAAAAAAUAAAUAAAUCUGCUUAUAAAAAGGAGAGUUUAUUGACUUAGAAGCCCAGAGUUAGAACUGGGUUUAUGUUAGAAGUUCAAUUUUUCAUCUUUAACAACUUUAACUUUCAAAAAAUGGAAACUUCAUAAUUUUAACUUCACAGUUUUUUCUGUCUCUCAGCUCUGCUUUCGCCUACAUUGGCUCUACUCUCAGAUUCUUUUUUUUUUUUUCAGCCAUAUAUUCUUUUUCAGAUUCUUUUUCAUUAUGUUUUUUUUUUCAAGAUAUUUAGUAUAGUUUCCUGUGCUAUACAGUGGGACCUUGCUUUUUAUCUACUAUUGGCUAAUCCCAAACUCCUAAUUUAUCCCUCCCUCCACCUUUCCCCUUUAGUAACCAUAAAUUUGCUUUCUCUGUCAGACAAAUUCUUGCUCAUGUCAAGAUGGCCGUGGCAGCACCAACCUAUGCUUUCUCAAGUCCAGCCCAAUGGAAAAAAAAGGUCUAUUGUUGUUCUAAGUUCUUCAAAAAAGUUUCACACCACUAUUGGCUCUAACAGGCUCACAUAUCCAACACAGAGCCAACACUUGGGCUUUUGCAGAGUGCAGGCUGGCUUAAGCCUUAGAACCAGCAGGGAAGCCUUACCCUGAACCACCUGACAUGAAGAUUAGGAGGGCUCAUUGCCCAGGACAACUCAGGAAGGGGCCAGUGGAACAGGCUCUGACCAUGACACUGUCUUGCUCCCAGUGCCUGAGUAAACAUGUUCAGACCAGUGUGGGAGAGGGGCUUCUGCUGAGCUGUUCCCUGUCCUACCUUGCUACUGAAAGCCAGCCAGAAUGCACAUAUGUGUUAUUCCAUGCAGGUGUCCUCCCCACAUUCUGCUGAAACUCAGAUGGAUAAAGUUGAGUGUGCACGAGUCAACAGAAGCCAAGAGAAGGUGGUAGUAUUUUUGUUGUUUGUUGCUUCAUUUAAAAAAAAAAAUCUUUUUGCUUUUUUUGUGAUUUUAAUUAACUUCUGGUUUUCCCUGUAACAUCUUACUCUAAGAAGACAUGUAAUUUAAGAAAUGUAAUUAUAUUGAUAAAAGAAGCUCAGUUGUCACUUGGAGAAAUUUUUUUCUGUGCCCAUGAGAAGACUAGCUGACAGUGGGAAAAUGACAGUGAAAAAAAUCUCCUGAUUGACUUUUCCAUAGAACUGCUCAAUGUGGUAUGUGUAGAAAUAAGUAAUCUCAAAGAUAAAAGCAGGUAAUCCACUUUAAAGUUGUGUAUAUGUGUGUGUGAACAAAUAUAUAAACACACACACGUACACACACACACACACACACACACACAAUUUAAUACUCUAUCUAAACUUAAUAUAGGAAGGACCCUUGUGUUGGAGUUAGGAACCCUGGGAUGUAUCCAUCUCUGCAGAUCAAUCCUUUAAGACAUUAAAAAAAAAAAUCGGAGUUCCUGUCGUGGCACAGUUAUUAAUGAAUCCGACUAGGAACCACGAGGUUGCGGGUUCGAUCUCUGGCCUUGCUCAGCGGGUUAAGGAUCCAGCAUUGCCAUGAGCUGUGGUGUAGGUCGCAGACACGGCUUGGAUCCCGCGUUGCUGUGGCUCUGGUGUAGGCCAGUGGCUACAGCUCCAAUUAGACCCCUAGCCUGGGAAUCUGCAUAUGCCAUGGAAGCAGCCCUAGAAAAGACAAAAAGACAAAAAAAAAAA
rnacentral:lncRNA from 1 species